AGGUGUCAUCUUAUUUAAUCCCCACAUCCCUGAGGGGUGGUUCCACUUUACACAGGAGAAAAUCAAGGCACAGAGAGGGAGGAGACUUUGAAGGUCACACAGGAGGAGGAGCAAACAGACCCCGGUUUUGGAGGCCAUGGCUCCAGGUCCCCUUAUUCUGGGAGGGUCCCAUCUAGGCCCUCUCUACUUGAUCUAGAUGCCAUCUUAUUUACCAGAACGAGGGGCACCGCUCUCCAAGGCUAACUCGGUCCUACUUCAAAUUUCGUGCUGCCCUGGGAACGGUCGAUUGGGGUGGGGCACGCCUAGGUUACCUGGGAUUCUCAGGGCCUGCCUGUGUGGCGGCUGGAGGCUCCAAUGAAUAGCUUGCUUCGUGCUAGCCCCGUCUCCCGGCCCCGCAGGCUGGGAGGAACCACACAGAAUGCAGGGGAUGUGACACUGCCAGUUCUGAGCCUGGACUCUUAAGAGCUCUUGUAGCUUCUGCUUGUUCUCUUGGAACCUUCUCAGCUGGCUUGUGAACAAAUCUGGCUCUCCUGCAUGAGGAUGACAGACCACCGGAACAGGAACGAGUUGUCCUGGCUGAGGCUGUGCUCGUCAGCCACCAGCUGAUCCCACAGCGGACCACAGAUGAAUGCAUAAACCCGACUGAGACCAGAAGAACCUCUAGCUGAGCCCAGCCCAAAUUGCCCAUCGGUGAAAUCAUGAGCUAAAUAAAUGAUUGCUCUUUUAA